CCUACGGGAGGCAGCAGUGAGGAAUAUUGGUCAAUGGGCGGGAGCCUGAACCAGCCAAGUCGCGUGAGGGAAGACGGUCCUACGGAUUGUAAACCUCUUUUGCCGGGGAGCAACGGGGUCCUUGCGAGGGCCCGAUGAGAGUACCCGGAGAAAAAGCAUCGGCUAACUCCGUGCCAGCAGCCGCGGUAAUACGGAGGAUGCGAGCGUUAUCCGGAUUGAUUGGGUUUAAAGGGUGCGUAGGCGGACUGUUAAGUCAGCGGUAAAAGCCCGGGGCUCAACCCCGGCGAGCCGUUGAAACUGGCUGUCUUGAGAUGUCGAGAGGUAUGCGGAAUGCGCAGUGUAGCGGUGAAAUGCUUAGAUAUCACGCAGAACCCCGAUUGCGAAGGCAGCCUGCCAGGCCAUGACUGACGCUGAUGCACGAAAGCGUGGGGAUCAAACAGGAUUAGAUACCCGAGUAGUC
rnacentral:rRNA from 1 species